GUAACAAGGUUUCCGUAGGUGAACCUGCGGAAGGAUCAUUACCUAGAGUUUGCAGACUUCGGUCUGCUACCUCUUACCCAUGUCUUUUGAGUACCUUCGUUUCCUCGGCGGGUCCGCCCGCCGAUUGGACAACAUUCAAACCCUUUGCAGUUGCAAUCAGCGUCUGAAAAAACAUAAUAGUUACAACUUUCAACAACGGAUCUCUUGGUUCUGGCAUCGAUGAAGAACGCAGCGAAAUGCGAUAAGUAGUGUGAAUUGCAGAAUUCAGUGAAUCAUCGAAUCUUUGAACGCACAUUGCGCCCCUUGGUAUUCCAUGGGGCAUGCCUGUUCGAGCGUCAUUUGUACCUUCAAGCUCUGCUUGGUGUUGGGUGUUUUGUCUCGCCUCCGCGUGUAGACUCGCCUUAAAACAAUUGGCAGCCGGCGUAUUGAUUUCGGAGCGCAGUACAUCUCGCGCUUUGCACUCAUAACGACGACGUCCAAAAGUACAUUUUUACACUCUUGACCUCGGAUCAGGUAGGGAUACCCGCUGAACUUAAGCAUAUCAAUAAG
rnacentral:rRNA from 1 species